rnacentral:lncRNA from 1 species
CAUAUACAGUUAACUCUCGUUGUCUCGAACUCGGUUGACUCGAAAUUUCGGAUGAGUCGAAGUUUUCACGUGGUCCGAACUUUAUUCCAUACAAAAGUAUGUAAUUCGACUCCUGAUGAGUCGAAAUUGGAUGAGUCGAAAUUUCGGUUGAGUCGAACUAAAUCUACGGUCCCAAGGUUAACAAAAGCAUUCAAAAUUCAUUUUUUAUCUCGAACUAAUACACGUGUAAUUAAAUUUCCGGUCAUUGACCACUGUAUUGAUUUAUGACAUGCUAUUUCCAUGAGUGUUUACCUAAGAUUAUCUUUUAUAGAAUUUUGAUAAAUAAUUAGUGAUACAUUGUUAUUGUUAAUGUUCAUGAAAAAGUAUUUAAAAUGUUUACAAAACAAUUGAUUUGUGAUUUACACUAAUGAGCUUGGGUGUGUAUAAAGUGAGGAUUAUGGCUUCCGUUGAUGAUCACCUAAAAACUACUCAAACGGCGUCUUUGAUCUUGUUACAUUUUCUUUUGAAAAGAAAGAGUGAGAUAAAACAAAAUGAAUAGAAAUCAAAAUUUUCUAAAUCUUUUGUAUCAGAGAAUAAACAAUUUUGUCAGCUUUAACCGACCUGAAUAACGAAACUAUCGAUUGGAAUUUACACUCUUGGAAAAGCCAUAGGAUUUUUUUUUAAUUGAAACAAUUGAAUAAGUAAAAAUAAUGUCAUUAUAAUAAUAAAAGACUGUGACAUACAAAUACAUCGAUCUGAUACUAGAAUAUCGAUCCCCUUGCCAUAUUCACCCGGAUUUAUUUUAGCUUUACCAAGCUAAGCAAGAGUUGUGUCCCUUAGAUUGUCGAACUUCCGGUGUUCGUUUGAGUCGAACUACGUGUAUCUCGAAAUAUUUCUCUGGUCCGGCUGACUUCGACAUAACGAGAGUCGACUGUAUAUCAAAAGCUU